GAUGAACGCUGGCGGCGUGCCUAAUACAUGCAAGUCGAGCGAACAGACGCGGAGCUUGCUCCUCUCACGUUAGCGGCGGACGGGUGAGUAACACGUGGAUCACCUACCUAUAAUACUGGGAUAACUUCGGGAAACCGGAGCUAACACCGGAUAAUAUAUUGAACCGCGUGGUGCAAUAGUGAAAUACGGUUUUGCGGUCACUUAUAGAUGGUUCCGCGCCGCAUUAGAUAGUUGGUGAGGUCACGGCUUACACAGGCAACGAGGCGUAGCCGACCUGAGAGGGGGAUAGCCCACCUGAGAGGUGAGACGGGGUCAAGGCGCUUGAGGGACGCAGCAGUAGCGUAUGGUAGGCAAUGGGCGGAAGCAUGACGGAGCAGCGGCGAGUGAGUGAUGAAGGUCUCCGGAUCGUGAAACCGUGUUAUUAGGGAAGAACCACUGUGUAAGUAAAUGUGCACGUCUUGACGGUAACUAAUCAGAAAGCCACGGCUAACUACGUG
rnacentral:rRNA from 1 species